rnacentral:piRNA from 1 species
GUACACAGAAUUUGACCGUGACUAUGGC